GCUGUGUGAUGAGUCCAAGGCGAAUGUGACUCCUUUGUCCUCUGGGUUUGACUUCUACUCAUUGCCCUCGGUCUGUAAUCUUGGUGGCUGUGCAGAAGGUUCUCGCUGCCGCUGUAAGGCCAGACCUACAUUGGCAUUUGUUGCUGGUCUUUCUCGGUUAACUUCUGCUCAAGAGUGUGUUGAAGAAUCUGAGAGGACCUACAGGAUCAACCGUGGUCUGGAGAGGGCCGAGCAGAGGUCUUUACUCAAUAAGAGGUGAUGGGGAGACAUGAGCACAUAUCUUUGGUAAUCUGACAGCA